GAAAUUAUCGAUUCCACGGAUUAAAAAAAUUCAAUUUAUCGCAAUGGAAAUAAAAAGUAGCAACCAAAUUAUUUACAAUGUUUGUGGUAAUUUUACAAAAUUAUUCGAAAUUAACGGAAUCGAACUAGGGAUGAAAGACUUAAAAUAUUCAACAUAAAUUGAAGACAACAAUGAGUGUCAAUAACAUGAACCAAAUGAGCUCAAAUUAGAUGCAAAGAUUUUAGCAUAAUAAAUAUAUUGAAU
rnacentral:lncRNA from 1 species